CAUGUUCUCUACAUCUCUACUGCUCCUGCUGGCAGCUGCUUCCUAUGUUCAUAGUUAUGAACUGAUUCAGCCUGGCGCCAUGGCAGUCCAGCCUGGCCAGAGUCUCUCCAUCCCCUGUAAGGUUUCAUAUACAGUUACAAGCUAUGGUACAACUUGGAUCCGACAACCUGCAGGAAAAGCUCUGGAGUGGAUUGGGUAUAUCAGUAGUAGUGGGGGAACAGGUUACAGUGACAAACUGAAAAAUAAAUUCAGCAUCUCCAGAGACACUUCUACUAACACAAUAACAAUUCAAGGACAGAAUCUGCAAACUGAAGACACAGCUGUGUAUUACUGCACAAAAGGUCUCACAGUGACGCAAAACUGUGGAUUUCCCUUACAAAAACCUUGAGGCAUUUUAGAAACAUAUGCACAGUGCAACUGAUAAACCA